rnacentral:rRNA from 1 species
GAUGAACGCUGGCGGCGUGCCUAAUACAUGCAAGUCGAGCGAACAGACGAGGAGCUUGCUCCUCUGACGUUAGCGGCGGACGGGUGAGUAACACGUGGAUAACCUACCUAUAAGACUGGGAUAACUUCGGGAAACCGGAGCUAAUACCGGAUAAUAUAUUGAACCGCAUGGUUCAAUAGUGAAAGACGGUUUUGCUGUCACUUAUAGAUGGAUCCGCGCCGCAUUAGCUAGUUGGUAAGGUAACGGCUUACCAAGGCAACGAUGCGUAGCCGACCUGAGAGGGUGAUAGGCCACACUGGAACUGGAACAGGGUCAAGACUCCUACGGGAGGCAGCAGUAGGGAAUCUUCCGCAGUGGGCGAAAGCCUGACGGAGCAACGCCGCGUGAGUGAUGAAGGUCUUCGGAUCGUAAAACUCUGUUAUUAGGGAAGAACAAAUGUGUAAGUAACUAUGCACGUCUUGACGGUACCUAAUCAGAAAGCCACGGCUAACUACGUG